AUUGAACGCUGGCGGCAGGCCUAACACAUGCAAGUCGAGCGAGCGGCGGACGGGUGAGUAAUGUAUGGGGCUCUGCUCGAAAGAGGGGGAUAACUACUGGCAACGGUGGCUAAUACCGCAUACUAACGGAUGUACCCAUAUGGGAUUAUCUAGUAGGUGGGGUAAAGGAUCACCUAGGCGACGAUCCCUAGCGGGUCUGAGAGGAUGAUCAGCCACACUGGGACUGAGCAACGGCCCAGACUCCUACGGGAGGCAGCAGUGGGGAAUAGUGCGCAAUGGGCGCAAGCCUGAUGCAGCCAUGCCGCGUGUAUGAAGAAGGCCUUAGGGUUGUAAAGUACUUUCAGCGGGGAGGCGUUACCCGCAGAAGAAGCACGGGCUAACUCCGUGCCAGCAGCCGCGGUAAUAC
rnacentral:rRNA from 1 species